ACCUACGGGACGCAGCAGUAGGGAAUCUUCCACAAUGGACGCAAGUCUGAUGGAGCAACGCCGCGUGAGUGAAGAAGGCUUUCGGGUCGUAAAACUCUGUUGUUGAAGAAGAACACGUUUGAGAGUAACUGUUCAGACGUUGACGGUAUUCAACCAGAAAGCCACGGCUAACUACGUGCCAGCAGCCGCGGUAAUACGUAGGUGGCAAGCGUUAUCCGGAUUUAUUGGGCGUAAAGCGAGCGCAGGCGGUUUUUUAAGUCUGAUGUGAAAGCCCUCGGCUUAACCGAGGAAG
rnacentral:rRNA from 1 species